GCCUGUCUACACUCGCUGCUUUCCUUCCUCACCUCCAAUUUCCCCUCCAACCCACUGCUUCCUGACUCGCUCUUCUCCAUCGAACGGCUCUCGCUCAGGUUCCACGAGCUGCCCAUCUCCACAGAAGAGCAGCUGGCAUUGCCCACUGGCCAUGCCGGCUGAAGAAAAGAAGACUGAGGACCCCAGGACGCCCAGCGCGAGGACCCCAGGAAGCCCAGCGCGAGGACUCCACCCACGACGCCCAGCGCGAGGACUUCACGCACAACACGUUGCAACUCUCCUGGAUUAGGCCAAAGCCAUCAUCUGGAAUCCUGCGUGGGACCCUGGACACACGGACACAAACACCUGCCCCCCAGGACCCUCCAACUGUAAAUCCCUCCACAGCCACGGGGACGCCUUGCACAUUUCCUGUGGGACAUGCUGGACCCAAGACUCUGGACCCUGGCCUCCCCUUGAGUAGAGAGACCCACCUACUGACUGAUGAACUGCACUGACCCUGGGGUCAGGCAUGUGGCCUUGAUCCCUACCCAUGGACCCUGAGACUUGGGGGGCUGGGAGAAAGGCUGUUGAGUCUUCACUGUUGAGUCUACAUCUGUGAAAUGGGCUCAGGUUCCUACCUCACAGGGCUGUUGUGAGGCAGCCUCGAUGUGCUUAGAAGCAUGGGGCCUGGUGGCUCAUGGUGCUUUCAAUAAAUUUCUUGUUUUAAC
rnacentral:lncRNA from 1 species